rnacentral:tRNA from 1 species
AGUCUUAUAGUCAAUAAUGACAUCAAAUUGCAAGUUUGGUGGUGGGUUUCCCUAAGGCUU